rnacentral:rRNA from 1 species
CUACGGGUCGCAGCAGUGGGGAAUAUUGCACAAUGGGCGCAAGCCUGAUGCAGCCAUGCCGCGUGUAUGAAGAAGGCCUUCGGGUUGUAAAGUACUUUCAGCGGGGAGGAAGGGAGUAAAGUUAAUACCGUUGCUCAUUGACGUUACCCGCAGAAGAAGCACCGGCUAACUCCGUGCCAGCAGCCGCGGUAAUACGGAGGGUGCAAGCGUUAAUCGGAAUUACUGGGCGUAAAGCGCACGCAGGCGGUUUGUUAAGUCAGAUGUGAAAUCCCCGGGCUCAACCUGGGAACUGCAUCUGAUACUGGCAAGCUUGAGUCUCGUAGAGGGGGGUAGAAUUCCAGGUGUAGCGGUGAAAUGCGUAGAGAUCUGGAGGAAUACCGGUAGCGAAGGCGGCCCCCUGGACGAAGACUGACGCUCAGGUGCGAAAGCGUGGGGAGCAAACAGGAUUAGAUACCCCAGUAGUC